AGAAGAAUUUGAAAAGUCAGAACAGAGUGGAGACGCAUGCUUGGUGGAAUGAUCACAGCAGAACUGAGGGAAAGAGGUUGAAUGCAUUUUGAAAAACUAUUUGCAAAUUGGAUUGACACCUGAAACUAACACAACAUGAGCACAGGCUCCAGACGUGCAGGCUCAGUGGCCAUGGCUCACGGGCCCAGCCGCUCCGCGGCAUAUGGGAUCCUCCCGGACCGGGGCACGAACCCGUGUCCCCUGCAUCGGCAGGCAGACUCUCAACCCCUGCGCCACCAGGGAAGCCCCAUUGGCUGUGGUGCAAGCUCUGGGCUGUGGACUGGGAUCAGCAGGAACAGGGAACAAGUGAGACCAGAAUGGAACCCAACACAGGGCCCAGAGCACCAUGGCCAAGUGGGAGAUGGCGCUGAGCACACCAUGGGGAAAGAUAAGAAAGCAUCGCCUUCCAAGUACAGCACUGAAUUAGAAGACCCUGUUUCCACUUUUGGUCUUAUUUUGACCUUGUAAUAUCCUAGGGCUGAUGACAUAAUCUUUCUGGGCUUUAGUUUCCUCAGUGGAGACAUCAUUAUUAAUUACUUUAUGGAAUUACUAUGUCAGUUAGUAACACAGUAAUAAUCU